ACCGCUUCUCGGCCUUUUGGCUAAGAUCAAGUAUAGUAUCUUUUCUAUCAGAAUAGAUUUUAUUUGAACAGAAAGCUCAGUGGUUACAGUGACCUUAAAGAAUACUCUCUCAGCCUGAAGGCU
rnacentral:snRNA from 1 species